UUUCCGUAGGUGAACCUGCGGAAGGAUCAUUAAUGUGUUUGGGCCUCACGGCUCUUCAUUCCGACGCUGUGCGCCUUCGGGCUGCACGCUGAGGGAGCAUAUAUCCACCCCUGCGCACACACACGGUGGCGAGCUGGGUGACGGCUCGCCGCUGAUCUUUACACACGUCUAAAAGUCAUUGUAUGUUUAUUUGAGAUAAAAACACAACUUUCAGCAACGGAUCUCUUGGCUCUC
rnacentral:misc_RNA from 1 species